rnacentral:lncRNA from 1 species
GAGAUGGAUCCCCAUGUGGGACAGUCACUGGAUUACGUUUCCUUCAGGUUCUGCUCCAAACUUUGCCUCUGUAUCUCCUCCUGUGGGUAUUUUGAUCCCCUUCUAAGAAGCACUGAAGUUUCCACACUGUGGUCUUCCAAAAGGGGAUUUCAUGGAGCCAUCCCAUUUUAUCUAAGAGUUCCAAGGACUCUCACUUUUGGAGCAUUGCCUGGCUGUGGGUGUUAUGUUCCCAUUUGCUGCAAGAGCUCCUGUGAUGGUAACCGACAAAGAGGUUCAUGUACCCAAACUGCAUUUUGUAUGUUUAUGUUGCCCACUGAUAUUCCUUCUUUGGAUAUAUGCCCAAAUAAAGCCAAUUCAGGAGAACAGGGCUUAUUGCAAUUUAUAAUUGUGAAGCAAUUAACAUACCAGGAGUAUGAAGCACCUGGUCCCAUGUCUCCAUGAUCAGAAACAAAACACUGAACACAUGUUCCUGCUCGAUUCCCUUUCUCGAUUUUCACAGUCAAUAAUCUGAGCCAUGAAGAGGCACGGAAUAUAGUAGUGAGCCUCCCCCACCUCAAUCAAGCAAAACAAUAUAAUUCUUCAUAGGCAAGUUAAAAAUCUCAUCUCCAGGGUGAUUCUAGAUUCUGUCAUUUGGCAAAAGCAUACUAACAAUAGCAUCUACUUUGGUAUUUUGCCUAUCUAUUGAAUUAAAAUUGUAAAAUUUCACUGAUCAUUGACUUUAUGAUGAUGAUUUCUCUAUUAUUAAAGCUGAUACAUGCAAAGUCAUACUCUACCAAUAUUUCUGUCAUUGUGUAGUUCCACCCAGAUGACCAUCCAUCGAUUCUGAGAGAGCUGGCUGGUUGACUUGUUGCUAAAAUAUUCAGACAUCCUUUAGCCUGGGUUAAUAUGUGAAUAAAUAUAAUAUGAGUUUACAAAGCAAAUGUAUGUAUUUCAUAAUUUAUCAAUAAAAUGAAUAAAGUAUCAUGUUUUGUAUUUUUGUCGUGCAUAGAGAACCCAGUUUUUAAAAUCAUAAACUAACAAAUAAUUAGCAGGUGAACAUAGUUCAAGAAAUAUUCUAUCAUAUCAAUGCAACAACGUUUUUAUUUUCCCCUCCACACAAUUUAAAAUUUAUGUCUGUUUGAGGAGGAGAUAGAGAGAUCAGUAGCUAGCUCAUUAUUCUGGAUGUUUAAAAAGUCUGAUCUCUUCUCCAACAGAGAUAUCAACAUGACUCAGACACAGUUUGGUGGACUUUUUCAGACUCCAGACAUCUGCCAGU